AGAGUUUGAUCAUGGCUCAGGAUGAACGCUAGCGGCAGGCUUAACACAUGCAAGUCGAGGGGUAGAGGAAGCUUGCUUCCUUGAGACCGGCGCACGGGUGCGUAACGCGUAUGCAAUCUACCUUGUACAGGGGGAUAGCCCAGAGAAAUUUGGAUUAAUACCCCAUAGUAUUAUUGAGUGGCAUCACUUAAUUAUUAAAGUUCCAACGGUACAAGAUGAGCAUGCGUCCUAUUAGCUAGUUGGUGUGGUAACGGCAUACCAAGGCUACGAUAGGUAGGGGUCCUGAGAGGGAGAUCCCCCACACUGGUACUGAGACACGGACCAGACUCCUACGGGAGGCAGCAGUGAGGAAUAUUGGACAAUGGGCGCAAGCCUGAUCCAGCCAUGCCGCGUGCAGGAAGAAGCAUCUAUGGUGUGUAAACUGCUUUUGUACGGGAAGAAACACCUCUACGUGUAGAGGCUUGACGGUACCGUAAGAAUAAGGAUCGGCUAACUCCGUGCCAGCAGCCGCGGUAAUACGGAGGAUCCAAGCGUUAUCCGGAAUCAUUGGGUUUAAAGGGUCCGUAGGCGGUCUAAUAAGUCAGUGGUGAAAGCCCAUCGCUUAACGAUGGAACGGCCAUUGAUACUGUUAGACUUGAAUUAUUGGGAAGUAACUAGAAUAUGUAGUGUAGCGGUGAAAUGCUUAGAUAUUACAUGGAAUACCAAUUGCGAAGGCAGGUUACUAUCAAUAUAUUGACGCUGAUGGACGAAAGCGUGGGGAGCGAACAGGAUUAGAUACCCUAGUAGUCC
rnacentral:rRNA from 1 species